rnacentral:lncRNA from 1 species
GACGGGAGUUUGGCUUGGAUGGCCAACUGGACCACACAGAGCUUGGGCUGGCCAGCUCGCCGCCGUUCCCAGGGCCCGAAGAAGGAGCCCAUCCGCACCCUGGAAGCCGGGCCUGAGCAGCUGCCUCUCACGCUCACUGUGGCGGCGCUUAUGGCCUCUAGGAACUGGCUCCCUCCUGGCUGCCCAAGGAGAAGGGCUGUGUAUGGGUGUGAGAGAGAGACAGGCAGAGACAAGUCAGAGAGAAAGAGGGAGACAGAGAGAGAGAGAGAGAGAGAGAGAGAGAGAGAGAGAGAGAGAGAGAGAGAGAGAGAGAGAGAGAGAGAGAGACAGGAAGAGACAAGUCAGAGAGAAAGGGGGAGACAGAGACAGAGAGAUAGAGAGGGAGAGAGACAGAGGGAGAGAGAGAGAGACAGGAAGAGACAAGUCAGAGAGAAAGAGGGAGACAGAGACAGAGAGAGAUAGAGAGGGAGAGAGACAGAGGGAGAGAGAGAGAGACAGGAAGAGACAAGUCAGAGAGAAAGAGGGAGACAGAGACAGAGAGGGAGAGAGACAGAGGGAGAGAGAGAGAGAGAGACAGGAAGAGACAAGUCAGAGAGAAAGAGGGAGACAGAGACAGAGAGAGAUAGAGAGGGAGAGAGACAGAGGGAGAGAGAGAGAGACAGGAAGAGACAAGUCAGAGAGAAAGAGGGAGACAGAGACAGAGAGGGAGAGAGACAGAGGGAGAGAGAGAGAGAGAGACAGGAAGAGGCAAGUCAGAGAGAAAAAGGGAGACAGAGAUAGAGACAGAGAUGGAGAGAGACAGAGGGAGACAGAGACAGGAAGAGACAAGUCAGAGAGAAAGAGGGAGACAGAGACAGAGAGAGAGAGAGAGGGAGAGAGACAGAGGGAGAGAGAGACAGGAAGAGACAAGUCAGAGAGAAAGAAGGAAACAGAGACAGAGACAGAGACAGACAGAGAUGGAGAGAGAGACACAGAGACAGGAAGAGACAAGUCAGACAGAGGGAGACAGAUAGAGACAGAGGGAGACAGAAACAGAGAGAGACAAGUCAGAGAGAAAGAGGGAGACAGACACAGAGACAGAGGGAAAGACAGACAGAGAUGGAGAGAGAGACAGAGACAGAGGCAGGAAGAGACAAGUCAGAGAGAAAGAGGGAGACAAAGACAGAUAGAGGGAGAGACAGAGAUGGAGAGAGAGAUGGAAGGAAACAGAGACAAAGAGAGAUAGAGACAAAGAGACAGAGAGCAGAGAGAGAGGGAAGAAAAGAGGCAGGAAGAAGAUGGUAGGCUGAACCAAGCAAAUACAUAAGUAAG